rnacentral:rRNA from 1 species
CCUACGGGAGGCAGCAGUAGGGAAUCUUGCGCAAUGGGCGAAAGCCUGACGCAGCCAUGCCGCGUGAAUGAUGAAGGUCUUAGGAUUGUAAAAUUCUUUCACCGGGGACGAUAAUGACGGUACCCGGAGAAGAAGCCCCGGCUAACUUCGUGCCAGCAGCCGCGGUAAUACGAAGGGGGCUAGCGUUGCUCGGAAUUACUGGGCGUAAAGGGAGCGUAGGCGGAUAGUUUAGUCAGAGGUGAAAGCCCAGGGCUCAACCUUGGAAUUGCCUUUGAUACUGGCUAUCUUGAGUAUGGAAGAGGUAUGUGGAACUCCGAGUGUAGAGGUGAAAUUCGUAGAUAUUCGGAAGAACACCAGUGGCGAAGGCGACAUACUGGUCCAUUACUGACGCUGAGGCUCGAAAGCGUGGGGAGCAAACAGGAUUAGAUACCCUGGUAGUCCACGCCGUAAACGAUGAGUGCUAGUUGUCGGCAUGCAUGCAUGUCGGUGACGCAGCUACGACAUAAGUACACUCCGCCGUCGGGGAGGUACGGUCGGCGAGAAGUUAAACGUAACGAAAGAAGUAGUUAGGCGUGNGAGNGCGACGGACGACGACGACGGAGGAGGAG